CUACGUGCCAGCAGCCGCGGUAAUACGUAGGUCCCGAGCGUUAUCCGGAAUUAUUGGGUUUAAAGGGAGCGCAGGCGGGAGUAUAAGUCAGCUGUUAAAUAUCAGAGCCCAACUCUGUUAUGCAGUUGAAACUAUAUUUCUUGAGUACGCMCAGGGAUGGCGGAAUUCAGGGUGUAGCGGUGAAAUGCUUAGAUAUCCUGAAGAACUCCGAUCGCGAAGGCAGCCAUCCGGAGCGUAACUGACGCUGAGGCUCGAAGGUGCGGGUAUCGAACAGGAUUAGAUACCCUGGUAGUCCGCACGGUAAACGAUGAAUACUCGCAGUUCGGCCGUUUAGGUCGAGUUGUCCAGCGAAAGCGUUAAGUAUUCCACCUGGGGAGUACGCCGGCAACGGUGAAACUCAAAGGAAUUGACGGGGGCCCGCGCAAGCGGAGGAACAUGUGGUUUAAUUCGAUGAUACGCGAGGAACCUUACCCGGGCUUGAAC
rnacentral:rRNA from 1 species